UACGUAGGGUGCAAGCGUUAAUCGGAAUUACUGGGCGUAAAGCGUGCGCAGGCGGUGAUGUAAGACAGAUGUGAAAUCCCCGGGCUCAACCUGGGAACUGCAUUUGUGACUGCAUCGCUGGAGUGCGGCAGAGGGGGAUGGAAUUCCGCGUGUAGCAGUGAAAUGCGUAGAUAUCUGGAGGAACACCGGUGGCGAAGGCGGCAUCCUGGACCGGUAUUGACGCUGAGGCGCGAAAGCUAGGGGAGCAAACGGG
rnacentral:rRNA from 1 species